rnacentral:rRNA from 1 species
CCCUUAGAUGUUCUGGGCCCCACGCGCGUUACACUGAUGCAGCCAGCGAGUAUAUCGCCUUCACCGGAAGGUGCGGGUAAUCUUGUGAAACUUCAUCGUGCUGGGGAUAGACCAUUGCAAUUAUUGGUCUUGAACGAGGAAUUCCUAGUAAGCAUGAGUCAUCAACUCGUGCUGAUUACGUCCCUGCCCUUUGUACACACCGCCCGUCGCUACUACCGAUUGAAUGGUUUAGUGAGAUCUCGGGAUUGGAGACGUUGCGCCGCAAGGCACAUCGUCCUCGAGAACUUGAUCAAACUUGAUCAUUUAGAGGAAGUAAAAGUCGUAACA